GAAAAGAACUUUGAAGAGAGAGUUCAAUAGGACGUGAAACCGCUUGUAGUUAAACGGGUGGACCCACGAAGUCAAGCUGGAAGUAGGAUUCAGCUGCUUCAAUUGAGAUAGUAGGGUAUCUCAUAAGGCUUUCAUUGAAAGCAGCUAUGCCUUACAUAUGUCUCUCUUGGGCAGCGCAUUUCCUAAUCUUCCACGCUGAAGCUCUGACUAGUUGGAUGGUCUGAGCAGCUGUAAAGCAGGGGAGAGGAAGGUACCCAGUUGCAGCUUGCUGUAACUGGCAUUAUAGCCUCGAACCUGUAGCUGGUUCAGUCGUACCAACUAGGUAAAUUUCCCCACAUAGUGGGGUCUUAAACGAGAAACUUGAUUCAUCCGUUCAGAUGAUGGCAAGUUAACUAAACAUUGGUAUGCUUUGCAUGCCAAGUUUGAUCAACUAGUCCGUCUAAGUAAUGGUUGUACGCUUGUUUCUUGUUUAUCUAGAGCUAGUAGGUCGGUCAUCCACCCGACCAGUC
rnacentral:rRNA from 1 species